GGCAAACGGGUGCGGAACACGUACAGAACCUACCUUUAACUGGGGCAUAGCCCGAAGAAAUUCGGAUUAACUCCCCAUAAAAUAUUUGAGAGGCAUCUUUUGGAUAUUAAAAAUUUAUUGGUUAAAGAUGGCUGUGCGUCCCAUUAGCUAGUUGGUAGGGUAACGGCCUACCAAGGCGACGAUGGGUAGCUGGUGUGAGAGCACGACCAGCCACACGGGGACUGAGACACGGUCCCGACUCCAUACGGGAGGCAGCAGUGGGGAAUUUUCCGCAAUGGGCGAAAGCCUGACGGAGUGACGCCGCGUGUGGGACGAAGCCUUCGGGUCGUAAACCACUGUCAGUGGGAAAGAUGGGUGCCGGCGCGAUAACCGCCGGUAUCUGACGGUACCUGCGGAGGAAGCCCCGGCCAACUCUGUGCCAGCAGCCGCGG
rnacentral:rRNA from 1 species